CUACGGGUGGCUGCAGUGAGGAAUAUUGGUCAAUGGACGGAAGUCUGAACCAGCCAAGUAGCGUGCAGGAUGACGGCCCUAUGGGUUGUAAACUGCUUUUAUGCGGGGGUAAAGUGAGUGACGUGUCAUUCAUUGCAAGUACCGCAAGAAUAAGGACCGGCUAAUUCCGGGCCAGCAGCCGCGGUAAUACGGAAGGUCCUGGUGUUAUCCGGUUUAUUGGGUUUAAAGGGAGCGUAGGCCGUCAGGCAAGCGUGUUGUGAAAUGUCGUGGCUCAACCAUGGACUUGCAGCGCGAACUGCCCGACUUGAGUGCGCAGAAAGCAGGCGGAAUUUGUGGUGUAGCGGUGAAAUGCUUAGAUAUCACGAAGAACCCCGAUUGCGAAGGCAGCCUGCUGUAGCGCUACUGACGCUGAAGCUCGAAAGUGCGGGUAUCGAACAGGAUUAGAUACCCCCGUAGUC
rnacentral:rRNA from 1 species